AGUGGAGAGCGGCGGACGGGUGAGUAACGCGUGGGAACCUACCCUUUGGUUCGGAAUAACUUUGGGAAACCGAAGCUAAUACCGGAUACGCCCCGUAAGGGGGAAAGAUUUAUUGCCGGAGGAGGGGCCCGCGUUGGAUUAGGUAGUUGGUAGGGUAAUGGCCUACCAAGCCGACGAUCCAUAGCUGUUCUGAGAGGAAGAUCAGCCACACUGGGACUGAGACACGGCCCAGACUCCUACGGGAGGCAGCAGUGGGGAAUCUUGGACAAUGGGGGAAACCCUGAUCCAGCCAUGCCGCGUGAAUGAAGAAGGCCUUAGGGUUGUAAAGUUCUUUUAGUGGGGAAGAUAAUGACGGUACCCACAGAAAAAGCCCCGGCUAACUCCGUGCCAGCCGCCGCGGUAA
rnacentral:rRNA from 1 species